rnacentral:rRNA from 2 species
UACGUGCCAAGCAGCCGCCGGUAAUACGUAGGUGGCCAAGCGUUGUCCGGAUUUAUUGGGCGUAAAGCGAGCGCCGGCGGUUUUUUAAGUCUGAUGUGAAAGCCUUCGGCUCAACCGAAGAAGUGCAUCGGAAACUGGGAAACUUGAGUGCAGAAGAGGACAGUGGAACUCCAUGUGUAGCGGUGAAAUGCGUAGAUAUAUGGAAGAACACCAGUGGCGAAGGCGGCUGUCUGGUCUGUAACUGACGCUGAGGCUCGAAAGUAUGGGUAGCAAACAGGAUUAGAUACCCUGGUAGUCCAUACCGUAAACGAUGAAUGCUAAGUGUUGGAGGGUUUCCGCCCUUCAGUGCUGCAGCUAACGCAUUAAGCAUUCCGCCUGGGGAGUACGGCCGCAAGGCUGAAACUCAAAGGAAUUGACGGGGGCCCGCACAAGCGGUGGAGCAUGUGGUUUAAUUCGAAGCUACGCGAAGAACCUUACCAGGUCUUGACAUACUAUGCAAAUCUAAGAGAUUAGACGUUCCCUUCGGGGACAUGGAUACAGGUGGUGCAUGGUUGUCGUCAGCUCGUGUCGUGAGAUGUUGGGUUAAGUCCCGCAACGAGCGCAACCCUUAUUAUCAGUUGCCAGCAUUAAGUUGGGCACUCUGGUGAGACUGCCGGUGACAAACCGGAGGAAGGUGGGGAUGACGUCAAAUCAUCAUGCCCCUUAUGACCUGGGCUACACACGUGCUACAAUGGAUGGUACAACGAGUUGCGAACUCGCGAGAGUAAGCUAAUCUCUUAAAGCCAUUCUCAGUUCGGAUUGUAGGCUGCAACUCGCCUACAUGAAGUCGGAAUCGCUAGUAAUCGCGGAUCAGCAUGCCGCGGUGAAUACGUUCCCGGGCCUUGUACACACCGCCCGUCACACCAUGAGAGUUUGUAACACCCAAAGUCGGUGGGGUAACCUUUUAGGAACCAG